ensembl:lncRNA
GAUUUAAUUUCAUCCAUGCCUGGACAUUCUCAUUAAUAUUCCACCUCUGAAUACUGCAGGUUGCAAAUGCAUAUUGAAAAGAUUAGCUGGGGAAUGGUUUGUGAAGGGGAGCCGGAACGCAUAAUGGCGGUUGUCCUGCCUCAGCUGAUGAGUGGUAACAUUUUCUGACUCUUGCUUUUUGAUAAUUCCAUGAAAAACAACAGAUGACACAAGAAGGGCCAGUGUCUACACAAACUACAUCUGGGUUCUAAACACCCAUGGGAGCUCUUUCCACUGUAAUAUUUCUGCUGCUUUGUCAUUGCCUGAAAAAUAAAACGCUUGACAGUCUUCGUACAGGCAGUCAAACUGACAUGGAGCCAAGGAUUGAGAGAAGUUAUGUUUCAAGAGCCAACCAAUGCGAAACGUCACAACCAGAGCUGUGCGGUUUGCAUUGAGGAAACUGAGAGGCUGGCGGACUUUAAACUUACAUUUCACCUCAUAACUGUGGUAGUUAGUAGCGCUGACAUCAAAGCACAUACACUUUAUGUCUUGGUCACAAAGGCUCAGUGAUAAGUUUUAUAUUUCACCUCAGUUCUGCUGGGGAAAAGCACAUCCACUACAAACCAGUGUCUAGUCGUAUCCACAAAGCAUAUGAGAUUUGUCCAUAAUGUUAAGUUCUUAACUGCAAACUGAACUGUCAGCACUACUACUCCUAGAUGCUUUUGGAUGUGGACCCUGGGCAUAACAGCACAACUAUAACACACUUUCCUAUAUUUUAGUGUAGUUCUAUUGUUCUGCCUUGUUAUAGAAUCCUGAUUCUCCCUGAAAUACUUGUUUUGUGACUUAACUUAAAGCCAAUGAAUCUUCAGUGGACAUUGCAGGACGACAGGACAGAGUACCAGCAGCAUUUCUGCAAUUCUUUUCAAGCAUUCUUUGAUGUUCUCUGUAGAAGAUAUGUUUCAUUUGCCUUUGAGGUUUCCUGUGCCAUAGUAACAUGUGUACUGUGUAGUACAACUUUUAUUGUUUUACUAUAUUAUACCUUCUUAAUGGUACUCAUGUAUUGACGUUUUUGUCCCCUGUCUUCUCACAAUUAUGGUUCCUGUUUUUAAAGGUAGCCCUACAGCCUUACAGAUCCGAAUUACUAGAGUAACCAUUUGAAAAGAUACUUAUUUUAUUUUUAAAAAUGUGGUGUUAAAAUUGUCCAGUUGCAAAUUUUGCACAAGCCCAUACAAAUCAACAGUGAAUCUCAGGAAAUCGAAAUUACAUCAGCAAGUAUUUCUGUCUGCGUGUAUGCCACAAUAUAUGCAUGCAUAACAGGGACCUCUGUCAAAGCGCACCCGUGUUAUGGAGGCUUUGAAAAACAUUUGUUUCUUCAAUGGCAUUUUUAAGUUGUUUUCGUACGGUGGCAAAACGAAUAGUUGUCAGAAUGUUCUAGUGUGGUAAAAACGUCUACCCUCAUGAUGUACCGAUAAUGGGACCGUUGAAAGUGAUACUAAAUACACAAUUCUUCUUUGCCUUUUU